UACGUAGGGUGCGAGCGUUAAUCGGAAUUACUGGGCGUAAAGCGUGCGCAGGCGGUUCGUUGUGUCGGCGGUGAAAGCCCGGCUUAACCUGGGAAUGGCCGUUGAAACUGGCGAACUGGAGUGUGGCAGAGGGGGGUGGAAUUCCGCGUGUAGCAGUGAAAUGCGUAGAGAUGCGGAGGAACACCGAUGGCGAAGGCAGCCCCUGGGCUAACACUGACGCUCAGGCACGAAAGCGUGGGGAGCAAACAGG
rnacentral:rRNA from 1 species